CAAACGCCAAACGUUGAAUCGCGCCACUAUUAAUAAUUAAGAAAAAAAUAGGUAAUCUUUCGGAAAAAUCUAAUUUGCGUGACAACGAAAAAUAUGCAUUAUAAAUUGUGAUCAUAAUGAAUUCAUUAUUAUGUGAACCAUAUGUUUUUAAAGUGCAAUUGAAUAUAUUUUACAGUGGAAAAUAGGCCUAUUUUAAAAUAUUAAAAUAUUUUGUGAGGAGAGAAUGGAUUCGAAUGCCUAUGUUAUCAAUAUAUCAAGCAUAAUUUGUAUCCCAACAAACAAUUUUUUCUGAGUGAAAUGUGAACCACGCAGGGUGCUGUGUAAUAUCAAAAUAACGGUAACCAAAAUUGUACUAUACGUCCAAAGAUUAGGAGUACAUAGAAAAACCCAGUGAGGCAGUUGGGACCAUCAUUAGUUAUGGUUUCUGGCUCAAUUAAUGUAAAGGAAUUUACUGGUACACAGGCCAUUCAUCCCUCAGUGCAAUUACUCAAAGGUGUUUUUCUGUACAUGAAAGCUCCUGCGAAAUAGAUAACUGGUGUAAUUAAAAAUGACACAUGAAGCUCGGUAUAUUAUAUUCUUGUUAUUAUUAUUAUUGGUCUGUUAUUAUUACUGUUACAAUCCGUUAAUGUAGGCCUAAUAUUUGACAGUGCUGUUAAUUCAAAUUAAUAUCAAAAUCACAAGCAAUCAGCUUCAAUCUAAUUAUAAAUCAUAAAAAUAUGUCUGAUUUAUUUGGACAUAAACACGUUUGAAUUAAUGUCAUAUUUCGUGAAAUAAAGAUAUUUUAGAAUGUCUCAGCAAUCUAUUAUUUAUUCCCGGUCGAUAUCGUCCAAAUAGAUGAAUGUUGCCUCACUCUAUUAUUUCCAUGAUGAUAUAAUAGAAUCCCCCCAAGGUCAAUAGAAAUUUGGUUAUGUUUAAGGUCAAUAUAAAUUUGUUAAUGUUUUGUCAUACUGUUUUGAAUUCUCCGAAACGAAUUUCAAAACCAACCACAAUUUAGCAUAAGGACACGGAGGUUUUCUUGCAAGAACAUGCUAUCAUACUUUUUCCAUAGUUGUCUGGAUCAUUACCGAGAGUUGAAGGAACAUCCCUCCCGACGUAGCACGGUUUCAGUCAGGCAUGGCGAGAUUAGUGACCGUGACGAGGACUACGGUCAUAUGCAUCAAAUGCUGCUGAGGGGCUUGUAUUGUGUGUUUAUCGCGAAACACUGGGUGUGCAAGAGUAGCCUAACUAUAGCCUAAUCAUUUGUCCUUGUCCCCUUCGUAUCGAACUGUCUGAGCAAAUAUAAAGAAAUUUGCAGCUAGACUAUCAUUUUACCGUGCACUUUGGGGGGCAGGUAUGCAUUUUUAUUUUGGGAUUGAGGAGGUGGACACGUAAAGGGCCCAUCUCGCCACAUUACGACAUGUAAUAGAGAGAAGUUUAAGUGGAGCCCGAGAAACCGAGAAGUUAAUAGCGCUGACCCUCUCGCGGUGCCUCUGUCGCUCAUCAUUUCUCAGACUUAAGGGGCUUAAAGAGGCAGUAGGCUAUGGGCCCACCUUUAUUACAUAUCAAACGCUCUCUUCCUUAUCUACAUAAUAGGAAAUACAUGCAUCGUUGCGUGUUAUGCGGAUUUGGAAAUAGAAACAUGUCCAAUAAAGUCGCCCUCCCUCGCUGAUCAAAGGGGAACAUGGCUUUAGGCACCAAAGAAACUACCCCGUCCAUUUAAACUGUUAUUAAAUUGUAUUAAUUCCCCUCUCCACUUUAAACUUAACAUAAAUUCCACCCUUGAGUUGUUUGUCCAGUACAGAGGGGAACAAUUUAAGUGUUACAUUUUCAUGGUUGCAUCAUGCCCCGGAAUUGAAUUCAAUUGGACAGAAUAAUCAAGAACGCAAAUAGAAUGUGUUCGGUUGCCCUCUGGACAAUUGGAGAUGUUUUUAUGCCAGCCUUGAUGGCAGACGUGUCAAGAUUCAUAAUUAGGCAUGCAGCUUUAAACCUUGGAAUGUCUGUCAGACACACAUCCAACUAAACAGAUAACCAUAUCUUAUCUUAACGCAAGCUACUGACACUGCACGAAAACCCCACUAUGUAUUUAAAGCUACUUGCAGACCUACAAUUGUCUUCAAAUGUGAGAAUAGGCCAUCCACGUAAUGCACCCUUUGCGUAACAAGUAAAUGGAACAUGUUGUGAAAGUGACAUACUGUAGGCUACUUUCAGGUGGCUCUGUCUUCAUGUGCGUGGUAAUAUUUUUGAACUUGCCAAAUUGUCUUAUCAAAAGGCAGCUGAAUAUAGCCCCCCUAUGUGUAUAUACAUCUUAACAAUUAUGGACCUGUUAUGGGACGUUUGGUAGUGGUAAAUAUGAACAGUUAAAUAAGAGGGAGUUUUCAUUUGGAUAAAUGUGUAUGUUCAGCUGUCAUAUACUAGCCUAUUGCCCUGCUACUUUGUGAAAUUCGUGAGAGGCUUUAUGUUGUACAAUAGGAGUGUAGUUGAACUGGAAAAGGGGCAGGAGGGAUUGUUUCCACCAGUGUGGGGAGUUCCAGUCAUAUAGGUUACAGCUGCAUUACAUUUAGUCUAGGUCGGCUAAAGUGAAAGACUGACUAGAGAUGAAAGUCAAAUGAUGAGAAACACUAGUCUGUUGUUCUAUAAACACUAUUGAAUAGGCUUUCAUAACAAAUAUGAACAUUUAAUACAUUUAGUUAACUAAAAAAAAUCUGUAAUAAUGUUCUUGGGUAAUGUUAAAUGCUAAAUCUCCAGUUGAGCCACCUGUGCAAUCAUUGUUUACUCUCCCAUGUGUGUAAACCUCAACUGCCCUACAUGCUGAUAAAUAAGUGUAGUAUGGCAGGCUCAAAAGUCAAGUGUUGCUUGUAAAGAUUCUGAGGUAUCUUUGUGUAUAUUUGUAUCUGUCCUUAAAGUUUU
ensembl:lncRNA